UGGAUGGAAGCUUUAUUGCAUCUGUCGACCCUUCCUGGAGAGGGCAUACACACUGAGACAGUUCUUUUUCUGACAGUUCUUUCUAAGACAGUUUGAGGAAGUGAGACGUCUUUGAGGUGGCUACCAGGACCCCUUUAGGUCCCUGUGAUGUUCAUUUGCUGAUGUUUCUAUGCUGGGUGAUGCCUCCAAAUAUCAUCACAUUCUUCAGUUCCACUGAAUGUGUGGGAGUUAUUUAGGGAGAACCUAGUGAGCUACAGCCAA
rnacentral:lncRNA from 1 species